rnacentral:sRNA from 1 species
UUUUUUUUUCGAAAAACGCAAAUUUGUUAAAAGUAUUGAUUGGUAACUGUAUUGUAGUUUUAAUAAAAAAACAAGAAAACGCCUUUUGUAUGUUUCUUAAUCACAGUGUAUGAAUGGUGACAUAGACCGCCCCCAAAACCGUACCGUAACUGUAACAGUAUAAAAAAUCUCUAUAUAUACAUAUAUAUCUAUGUAUUUUUGUUAUUAUUUGAACCGUCCCAUACUUUUUCCGUAUCACAAAAUACAGUCAUCAUUCGAACCGCAAAACUAUAUAUAGUAUUUCGGUUUUUGAAUUCAAAAUGAAGGAGAAGAGGAAUAGGCAGAUUAAUAUA